rnacentral:rRNA from 1 species
UACGUAGGGGGCAAGCGUUAUCCGGAUUUAUUGGGCGUAAAGAGCUCGUAGGCGGCCGUUCGCGUCGGAUGUGAAAGCUCAGGGCUCAACUCUGAGAUGCCAUUCGAUACGGGACGGCUAGAGGUAGGUAGGGGAGAGUGGAAUUCCUGGUGUAGCGGUGAAAUGCGCAGAUAUCAGGAGGAACACCGAUGGCGAAGGCAGGUCUCUGGGCCGAUACUGACGCUGAGGAGCGAAAGCGUGGGGAGCGAACAGG